AUUGAACGCUGGCGGCAUGCUUUACACAUGCAAGUCGAACGGUAACAGGCCGCAAGGUGCUGACGAGUGGCGAACGGGUGAGUAAUGCAUCGGAACGUGCCCAGUCGUGGGGGAUAACUACUCGCAAGAGUAGCUAAUACCGCAUACGACCUAUGGAUGAAAGCGGGGGACCGUAAGGCCUCGCGCGAUUAUAGCGGCCGAUGUCAGAUUAGGUAGUUGGUGGGGUAAAGGCUCACCAAGCCAACGAUCUGUAGCUGGUCUGAGAGGACGACCGGCAACACUGGGAUGGAGACACGCCCAAGACUCCUACGGGAGGCGGCAGUGGGGAAUUUUGGACAAAGGGCGCAAGCCGGAUCCGGCAAUGCCGCGUGCAGGAAGAAGGCUUUCGGGUUGUAAACUGCUUUUGUACGGAACGAAACGGCUGUGGGUAAUACCCGGGGCUAAUGACGGUACCGUAAGAAUAAGCACCGGCUAACUACGUG
rnacentral:rRNA from 1 species